rnacentral:rRNA from 1 species
AUUGAACGCUGGCGGCAGGCCUAACACAUGCAAGUCGAACGAGGGGCGGACGGGUGAGAAAAGUCUGGGAAACUGCCUGAUGGAGGGGGAUAACUAAUGGAAACGGUAGCUAAUACCGCAUACCAUCAGAUGUGCCCAGAUGGGAUUGGAUUGUUUGUGGGGUAACGGAUCACCAGGGCGACGAUCACUAGCUGUUCUGAGAGGAUGACCAGCCUCACUGGAACUGAGACCCGGUCCAGACUCCUACGGGAGGCAGCAGUGGGGAAUAUUGCACAAUGGGCGCAGGCCUGAUGCAGCCAUGCCGCGUGUAUGAAGAAGGCCUUCGGGUUGUAAAGUACUUUCAGCGGGGAGGCGUUACCCGCAGAAGAAGCACCGGCUAACUCCGUGCCAGCAGCCGCGGUAAUUC